rnacentral:tRNA from 1 species
GCGAGGAUGGCGAAAAUGGCAGACGCGCUAGCUUCAGAUGCUAGUGUCUUAAAUUAUAGACAUGAGGGUUCAAAUCCCUCUCUUCGCA